UUAGUCUAGGCGGCUAGGAUAUCAGGCUUUCACCCUGAGGACCCGGGUUCGAGUCCCGG
rnacentral:tRNA from 1 species